rnacentral:rRNA from 1 species
CACGCCGUAAACGAUGGAUACUAGCUGUUCGGAGCAAUCUGAGUGGCUAAGCGAAAGUGAUAAGUAUCCCACCUGGGGAGUACGCACGCAAGUGUGAAACUCAAAGGAAUUGACGGGGGCCCGCACAAGCGGUGGAGCAUGUGGUUUAAUUCGAUGCAACGCGAAAAACCUUACCCACCUUUGACAUGUACGGAAUCCUUUAGAGAUAGAGGAGUGCUCGAAAGAGAGCCGUAACACAGGUGC